GACAGGCGGAGUAUUG
rnacentral:rRNA from 1 species